UACGGAGGGUGCAAGCGUUAUCCGGAUUUAUUGGGUUUAAAGGGUGCGUAGGCGGUCAGGUAAGUCAGUGGUGAAAUCUCCGAGCUUAACUCGGAAACUGCCGUUGAUACUAUUUGUCUUGAAUAUUGUGGAGGUAAGCGGAAUAUGUCAUGUAGCGGUGAAAUGCUUAGAUAUGACAUAGAACACCAAUUGCGAAGGCAGCUUACUACACAACAAUUGACGCUGAGGCACGAAAGCGUGGGGAUCAAACAGG
rnacentral:rRNA from 1 species